CCUACGGGUGGCAGCAGUGAGGAAUAUUGGUCAAUGGGCGAGAGCCUGAACCAGCCAAGUCGCGUGAAGGAUGAAGGAUCUAUGGUUUGUAAACUUCUUUUGUACGAGGGUAAAUCCCGAUACGUGUAUCGGGUUGAAAGUAUCGUACGAAUAAGGAUCGGCUAACUCCGUGCCAGCAGCCGCGGUAAUACGGAGGAUUCAAGCGUUAUCCGGAUUUAUUGGGUUUAAAGGGUGCGUAGGCGGUUCGAUAAGUUAGAGGUGAAAUCCCGGGGCUCAACUCCGGCACUGCCUCUGAUACUGUCGGGCUAGAGUUUAGUUGCGGUAGGCGGAAUGUAUGGUGUAGCGGUGAAAUGCAUAGAGAUCAUACAGAACACCGAUUGCGAAGGCAGCUUACCAAACUACGACUGACGUUGAGGCACGAAAGCGUGGGGAGCAAACAGGAUUAGAUACCCCUGUAGUC
rnacentral:rRNA from 1 species